rnacentral:rRNA from 1 species
CGGAGGGGCUAGCGUUGUUCGGAAUUACUGGGCGUAAAGCGCGCGUAGGCGGCUUUGUAAGUUAGAGGUGAAAGCCCGGGGCUCAACCCCGGAACUGCCUUUAAGACUGCAUCGCUUGAAUCCGGGAGAGGUGAGUGGAAUUCCGAGUGUAGAGGUGAAAUUCGUAGAUAUUCGGAAGAACACCAGUGGCGAAGGCGGCUCACUGGACCGGCAUUGACGCUGAGGUGCGAAAGCGUGGGGAGCAAACAGGAUU